rnacentral:rRNA from 1 species
AUGCCGGACGGGGAGCAGCAAAAGAUACAACAAUCCUGGUUCAGAGUACCCGCCGUUCUAGCGGCAUCGCUCGUGCUGGCCGUUUUUGACCACAUGAUGGAGUUACCCGAGUUGCAACAGUGUUUCUUUUGGCUGCUGGUGUCUAGUUGCCUGUGGGGUCGUGUGCCGAUGUGCAUUUUCUACAGAUUUUGGUACGCGAGGAUCCUGGUGGUGGCUCGAUCAAUGCGGCUGACGGCGAACGCCGGUGAGCGACAUGGAGGCCGCCACCUCUCCUCACCUUCUCCCAGGUUCCUGAUCUGGAGCGGGAGGAACGUGCGCUGGCAAGGCCAGCCUCCCUUUCACACGGGAGAUCAGCAAAGAUUCGGGUGGCCGGGAGGCUUGACGGAGUGGAAGGGAGCUAGAACAGGAAUGAGCUCAGGUGAAUCAAAUAAUCAAUGGAUCAAAGCGAAAUUUGAAGAAUGUAGAUGCAUUUGGAUGCCAAGGUUGGCACUUGAUCUACCGUCCAUAGUAACGUUACCUUUUUUCAGGCAUAUGGCACCAAUCUGGCUCUAUUGGGAUGCUAGAUAUAUCACGGAACUGAAUGAGUUCGCUGGAGCUGAACCACAUCUUCCAUGCAAGUGUCUAGCAGAUGGUUCGAAACGGGUUCAACUCAGUUCCCAGAAGAACCGGUUAGCAUCAUUUCAUAGAUGUUUUGGACCACCCCCUGCUAUCCAAUACUGCGGAGAGCUUGAAAGGUACUGUCACUGGGGCAAUGAAAUGAAGCUCUAUCAGCACCAUGUGAACAAGUUGUUUGCCAUGUUCGGCCGCAAAAAACCAGAUAUCAAAUAA